GGCUUGAGGCUCCAGUCAAAAACCAUUAAGGUGUCGUAUGCUCGCCCGAGCUCAGAGGUGAUCAAAGACGCCAACUUGUACAUCAGCGGGCUCCCGCGGACCAUGACCCAGAAGGACGUAGAAGACAUGUUCUCUCGGUUUGGGCGGAUCAUCAACUCGCGGGUCCUCGUGGAUCAGACUACAGAAUCCCAGAUCCUCAGGAAAAGCCAAAACCGAGGCCCAUUGCCCGGAUUCGACACAAAAGAGGGUCCCUGCUCUGUUGCCCGAGAGCAGUCUGCAUCCUGGGACCAGAAUGCUUUCCUGGAAAAAGAAGCCUUUCAGGUUUCCCUGGGCCAGCAUCUUCUGAUGGAAGGUGGGAGCCAACACCCUUCUGAUGGAAGGUGGGAGCCAACACCCUUCUGAUGGAAGGUGGGAGCCAACACCCUUCUGAUGGAAGGUGGGAGCCAACACCCUUCUGAUGGAAGGUGGGAGCCAACACCCUUCUGAUGGAAGGCGGGAUUCCCGCUUCUGAAACUCCCCCUGGAGUCUCACUCCCACACAUGCCCAUAGCUAGCAUUCAACAGAGAACUCUGUCUUAAGCUUCAACUGUGAAAAUGAUGACGGGCUUGUAGCACCUCAGCUUCUUUCCUCGCCCCCUUUUAUCUGAAUCCUAUCAAUUAUUCUGAUGCUGGGACAGGUGAGAAGAAACUGUGAAGUAUAUGAGCCUUUGAAAGUUCCCUGAAGUUUCUCAGUUCAGGAACAUUCUCAUUGUAUGUGGUCUCCGCUGUUUGAACAGCCUUCUAGCUAAAAAAUUCCAAAGCCUUUAUUUGGGAGUCUUAGCUUGCAAGCUUGUGGAAGGAUUUAGCUUAACAACUGUCACUCCUGAAAAGCAAUCUCUGUU
rnacentral:lncRNA from 1 species